UGCCGAAACUGAAACUCCAAUACUUUGGCCACCCGAUGUGAAGAACUGACUCCUUGGAAAAGACCCUGAUGCUGGGGAAGAUUGAAGGCAGGAGAAGGGGAUGACAAAGGUUGAGAUGGUUGGAUGGCAGCAUAGACUCAAUGAACAUAAGUUUGAGUAAGCUACGGAAGUUGGGGAUGGACUGUGAAGCCUGGCAUGCUGCAGUCCAUGGGGUUGCAAAGACUCAGACAUGACUGAGUGACUGAACAGAACUGAAGGGGCACCUAGCAGGUGCUUUGGCUCCAUCGAUGCACUUUUGGACAGUUGAUCCAAAUAAAGCUCCACUGAGUCUCAUCAGACAGUAAGGACCUACGUGCUUCUGCUUGAAAUUCAGGAUGUAGGACUGCUGCUCCCUAGAAGCAACAAAGAUGAAGGCUCAUGGAUUCUGGAGCAGGAACCUGGGUUUGAAUCCUAGUUUUUCCACCAGUUAGAUUUGUGACUUUGGACGGAAGUUAUGUACCCUCUGUGUGCCUCCACUCCCUCAUUUACAAAAUAUUAAUAGAAAAAAUAAUUGUAUCUGUCCCAUAAGUUCUUAUAAGAACUGAAAGGUUGAUCAUUGUAACACGCUAGCAGUAUCAGCACACACUAAGUGUUGUAUGUUUGUUGAGUUAAAAGUAUUAAAAACUUUAAGAGUUUCUAAGAAAGCACAUUCAUACUCUGUAAAUUGCUUGAAUUUUCAGAGGAUGUUUUCCUUCUUGUUAUUUCCCAUGCCCACUUUCCAAAAGUCCUCAUGACGAAUUUCCACUUACCAUUUAACAAAUGCAAAUAGAGCUCCGUCUGUAACAGCCAAGUGAACCCACAUGUUUCAUGAGCGUCAGUAAUGGGGACAGUAAAGGCUUCACAGCCUAGAAGAGAGAAGAAAGCUUGUGAAUGCGAUCGGAAAUGAGGUAUUCCUUCUGCCACUUCUCAAUCAUUUCAAACCCUUUCAGGCUCAAAUAAGUGCUGGGGGAUGUGACUCAUGGCCACUGACU